AAGUAUAACUCAACAACUCUGGACAAGAGCUGAGUCCAAAGCUCCACAAAAAAGAACACCUCCCUUCAACUAAUAAGAACUCUCUUUUUGACAAAUUUUAUGCACUAUAUUUUUCUUGUGUUUUGUGUAUCUCAAACCAAAUGAAGACCAUCCACUAUUUAUAGUUGGGGAUGUCUUCCUAGCAAUGAAUAGGAAGAUAAUGGGGAUGGUAAAUAGUGAAGAUAAAUGACUAGGAGCGGGGUUUUACCCUGUGCGAACCAAA
rnacentral:lncRNA from 1 species